ensembl:lncRNA
CAGGGAAAAAUAUGGCUCAUUGCAGAAGGACAGCUGGGAAGAGUAGUGAAGUUACACAGCGUUUAAAUAUUUAAUGCAAUUUUAUCAUAAUAGUAUUCAAGAGUUGUUUUUAAUUGAUGUUUCUAGAGUAACAUGUUUUAUUAACGUGGAAAUAUCUUUUCUUCCCUAACUCCUUAAAGCUGUGCAUACUAGUCCCUCAUCAUUUAGGGAACCUGAGAUGAGGAGUUCCAGUGAAGACUGUUCUGAAGUACUGGGCCUCGCCAAGAGAUCUGGGAAGUGAGGAGUGCUGCUGCAGCAGCAGCCUGGGAGCAUGGUUAAGGAAAAUGUUGGAGAGUCUUACAAAAACAGCACGAGCUGUGGCCUGUCAACAGCUCCUGGCAUGUGACAGUCUCUGUGGCAUGCACAACUGUGAAAGAACCAAGCGCAGGAGAGAAGCUUGUGGUGUCGGUGGAACCUCUGCUGCUGUUUUUCCAUUGACUUUGUGUUGCCAUAGGCAUCUGCAUUAGCAGUUUUAGAGCAAAGGAGUCAGUAGAUGGAGCAAAAUCUUAUGGCACCUCUCAGUGUUUUGCUGGAACACCUCAUGCUGGCUGAAUUUCCUGAAGACUGUAAACUGAUACUUCGACAUCUAUCUGCAUCAUGAAGAGACUGAAACGCCUGAAAUCAGGAGCAAUUGAUUUUGAUAUGUACGUCGGUAACAUUUUAAGUUUGAUACAUCAAAAGAAAAGGAAGUAUUUGACUGCAAAACCCAAGAAUGAUCUUGCAAACCAUCAGCAAGAGGCAGAGAGGCUCAGAAAAGUUGUGGACUGAUUAAUUUUUCCAAAGAGAGUGUAAAUUUCAUGCUGUACUAAUUCCAGAGCAGCUAACAGAGUGAGUUGCUGGUUGUUAGCAGCCUGCCCCAAAACUGUAAUGUCAAUGUGUCUUGUCUCAGGAGAAUGAAAGUGGAGACAGCCAUGAUGGCAAACACUUCUUCUAGCUCACAGCAGACCAGUGGCAGGACUGUGACCUGAAGGCCACUCUACAGGAGCUGAGUCCUUCUGACAAGGGAGAGUUCGUAUCAAACAGAAACACCAUCAAUGACAGCAAAUAACAAAUGCUGGUGAUGUGGGAUUUGUCAUAGUUCUACCUUUCAAUACAAAAAUGUGCUCACAGAAGCAGGAAGAAAUGGGCUUCCGUCUUCUAAAUCUUGGCUGGCUACACUUCAGAAUCUACACAAGGCUCCUGGAAUAGCUCACGUCUAGAAGGGCUCCGAGAGAGUCUAAAUUUAGAAUUUCACUUGAUAAUGUUGGACAUGGCUUACUAUUUUUUGUAAGAAAUGACCAUUGAUCUUCUCACUCAGGCUGUUUUACAACGCUAACUCCACUGGUGAAUUAAUUCACCUGAAGUAGAGCAGUAUGAAAGAAGAAAAAGAUUUGUGAGAGAGACUGCUAAAAUCAACUUGGGCACCACAGAAAUAACUGUGUAACAAAAGCCAAGAAGUACCAAAUUUCCAAAAAUCAACACACAGAAAUCCCUACUUCUUUCCAUCUGGUCUCCUAUUAUUUCUUUUUUAAAGUUCCUUCUUACUUUAAGCAAUCCAGUUCUUGUCUUCUUCACAUUUUAUACGUUUUGAAAAAGUGUUUCUGUAAACUCUGAAAAAUAAGUUCUAAUUGAAUUGCACACCAGCCCUGCAAUUUUGCAUGUCUUUUGAAAUUUUGAUUUUUUUCCACCCAAGAAUGACUUUUUCUUUUGGAAAGAAUUUGUCAAAAGUCAAGCGAAUCCUUAUCAAGCAAGGAUGAAUUUGCUUUAUUACUCUUAUCUAAGACUGAUGCUGCCAUCAAGGUCUAAUAAUCUCCAUUAGCAUGUGAAUGUCAAGGUUUGAAUGUGAAGUACACAUACUGUAUCAUUUCAAAAUUUCACAGCUGUGGGCAAAUACAUUUGGUUUUUAUUCAUUCCUCAAGAUACAUGCUGUGUAUUGCCUCUAGCUUACACCUCUCAGUGAUGUGGUUUAUCUGGUUAUUAGAUUUCUAAGAUACUGUCAUAAAUUUAACAUUUAUUUUUAAAAUGGUGAAGAAUGUAUCCUAACGUUUGGACUUGUCAUUGUUCUUUAGACAGAAUUUAAGGUAAAUAUCCAGUUACCGCUGAGCUGGAAUAAAGCAGAUUUGUUUAACCUGAGAAAUUCAAUGAAAUAAAACAGAUUCCAAGAGAAAUGAGUGUUGUGUUUUAUGAAACAUUAGUCUGUUUUAUUAGUAGAACUGAUGAAUAAACUGUCAAAAU